AAAAUGCGCCAAGGAUGCUGAAGCGAGACAGUACGGAGAGGCUUCGGCUGACCCGAUAUGAACCUAAUCAGACUGCCGAGAAAAUCUUCUAAGCAUAUCGUUAUACAACCCGUACCGCAAACCGACACAGGUAGUCAAGGAGAGAAUCCUAAGGCGCUCGAGUGAAUCAUGGCUAAGGAACUCGGCAAAAUAGUCCUGUAACUUCGGGAGAAGGGACGCCCCCGGCAACGGGGGCCGCAGUGAAAAGGUCCAGGCGACUGUUUAACAAAACACAUGUCUUUGCGAAAUCGAAAGAUGAAGUAUAAGGACUGACACCUGCCCGGUGCCGGAAGGUUAAGAGGGGGGGUUAGCAGCAAUGCGAAGCUCUGAAUCGAAGCCCCGGUAAACGGCGGCCGUAACUAUAACGGUCCUAAGGUAGCGAAAUUCCUUGUCGGGUAAGUUCCGACCUGCACGAAUGGUGUAACGAUCUGGGCACUGUCUCAGCCAUGAGCUCGGUGAAAUUGUAGUGCCGGUGAAGAUGCCGGCUACCCGCUACGGGACGAAAAGACCCCGUGCACCUUCACUGCAACUUAGCAUUGAUGACGGAUAAGGGAUGUGUAGGAUAGGUGGGAGGCUAUGAACCGGUAUCGCCAGGUAUCGGGGAGCCAACGUUGAAAUACCACCCUUCCCUUAUUUUUCACCUAACCCUUUACAAAAGGGGGACAUUGCUUGGUGGGUAGUUUGACUGGGGUGGUCGCCUCCAAAAGAGUAUCGGAGGCUCCCAAAGGUGUCCUCAGCACGCUUGGUAACCGUGCAAAGAGUGUAAUAGCAUAAGGACGCUUGACUGUGAGGCCGACAAGCCGAGCAGGAACGAAAGUUGGGUAUAGUGAUCCGGUGGUUCCGCAUGGAAGGGCCAUCGCUCAAAGGAUAAAAGGUACGCCGGGGAUAACAGGCUGAUCUCCCCCAAGAGCUCAUAUCGACGGGGAGGUUUGGCACCUCGAUGUCGGCUCGUCACAUCCUGGGGCUGAAGAAGGUCCCAAGGGUUCGGCUGUUCGCCGAUUAAAGUGGCACGCGAGCUGGGUUCAGAACGUCGCGAGACAGUUCGGUCUCUAUCUGUAGUGGGCGUUAGAUAUUUGAGUGGACCUGACCUUAGUACGAGAGGACCGGGUUGGACGAACCUCUAGUGUACCUGUUGUGGCGCCAGCUGCAUCGCAGGGUAGCUACGUUCGGAAGAGAUAAGCACUGAAAGCAUCUAAGUGCGAAACUCGCCACAAGAUGAGAUAUCUUUUAAGGGUCGUAGAAGACUACUACGUUGAUAGGUUGUAGGUGUAAAGUCAGUAAUGACAAAGCCGAGCAAUGCUAAUUACCCU
rnacentral:rRNA from 1 species